ensembl:snRNA U6 U6 spliceosomal RNA
GUGCUCACUUCAGCAGCAUAUAUACUAAAAUUGGAAUGAUACAGAGAAUAUUAGCAUGGACCCUGAGCAAGCAUGAUACCCAAAUUCAUGAAGCAUUCCCCAUUUUU